rnacentral:lncRNA from 1 species
AGUCUCCCCCCCCUCCUCCCGGCACACACAUACCCGGGAAGAAAGCUGGAGCUGUCGCUCCUCUGCCAGCCCUCGUUGUGCCUUCCCUUUGUGCGAGCCCCCGCUAGCUAAGCAUGCAGCGAAGGAGGGAGGAUGCAAAGGCGGCCCGGGGGGAAUAAGCGCUCCCGCAUGCAGCCAGUCUGUGCAGCUCCUCAGUCAACUGAAACCACUCGUUCAAGACAGCAACAAUCCAGAUAUACUAGCAAGUCAUAAAACUGAACAAAAGCCGACAAACCUUAGAGCACCAUCGCUAUAUGGCCCAGACAAAUUACGACCGUCUAGGUAAUAUUUAAAUAGAUUCCUAAAGUAAUUGCAGGGGGUUUAGGCAACUAUUCCUGUUGUAAAAGUUCUCGAAGACAUAAAGUAGAACCUGAGGAUAAACAGUCACAAAAAGAGGGGGAACCGUUGUGUGCUUAUCCCGUGUUACCAACGGUAACGCUAUUAAUCGACCAACAACAACAAAAAAAUCACUAAUUCCACAUCUUUAAGCAAAACUACGUUACGUAAAUAUCUACAACCAGAAAGAGAGAGAGAAAUUCAGAGCUUGAAAGAGCGAAGCGGGCCCGGGAAAGGCUGCAGGAACCGAGGAGGCUCACACAUGGCCCUCAGCGUUAGCGUGGCUCUCUUCCGCUCCCCCCGCAGCCCCGAAGCAGCUAUUAAGAGUUUAAGGACAUACUGAGAACGUCUAAAAUCGUUAAUCCGUACAGGUGCGGAUGACUACAGCCUAGGAAAAUGAUACUGGCUCUUUAAACCAUCAAGAUGUGUUUAUAGGUUCAUCAAGAGAAAUUAAAGUUGGCUGUGAGCUCCCGAAUCCUAUUCUCUCUGUUCAUUUUCUUCAGUUUCAUUCUGCGGUUCUGAAACCAG